rnacentral:rRNA from 1 species
CUUAAGUUAGCGGCGAGUGAGCGGCAAAAGCUCAAAUUUGAAAUCUGGUACUUUCAGUAUCCGAGUUGUAAUUUGUAGAAGCAACUUUGGUGAUGGUCUUUGCAUAAGUUCCUUGGAAUAGGACGUCAUAGAGGGUGAGAAUCCCGUUUAUGGUGAAGAACCCACACUAUGUAAAGUGCUUUCGAAGAGUCGAGUUGUUUGGGAAUGCAGCUCAAAGUGGGUGGUAAAUUCCAUCUAAAGCUAAAUAUUGGCGAGAGACCGAUAGCGAACAAGUACUGUGAAGGAAAGAUGAAAAGAACUUUGAAAAGAGAGUGAAAAAGUACGUGAAAUUGUUGAAAGGGAAGGGAUCUAAAUCAGACAUGGUAUUUUGUGAUCAACAGUCUUUCGGGACUGUGCACUCGCAUUUUACUAGGCCAGCAUCGGUUAGAAGGGGGUAAAAAAGAUUUUGGAAUGUGGCUCCUCGGAGUGUUAUAGCCAAGGUUAAUUGCCCCAUUUCUGACCGAGGACCGCGUCUUUUGACUAGGAUGCUGGCGUAAUGGUUUUGAUCCACCCGUCUUGAACCCCCGGACC